UUGAACGCUGGCGGCAGGCCUAACACAUGCAAGUCGAGCGCGAAAGUUCUUCGGAAUGAGUAAAGCGGCGGACGGGUGAGUAACGCGUGGGAAUCUGCCUAGUAGUGGGGGACAACAGCCGGAAACGGCUGCUAAUACCGCAUACGCCCUACGGGGGAAAGGGGGGGAUCUUCGGACCUCUCGCUAUUAGAUGAGCCCGCGUCGGAUUAGCUAGUUGGUAGGGUAAAGGCCUACCAAGGCUACGAUCCGUAACUGGUCUGAGAGGAUGAUCAGUCACACUGGAACUGAGACACGGUCCAGACUCCUACGGGAGGCAGCAGUGGGGAAUAUUGGACAAUGGGGGCAACCCUGAUCCAGCCAUGCCGCGUGUGUGAAGAAGGCCUUAGGGUUGUAAAGCACUUUCAGUGGGGAGAAAGGUUUGUCACCUAAUACGUGAUGAAAUUGAUGUUACCCACAGAAGAAGCACCGGCUAACUCCGUGCCAGCCGCCGCCGUAA
rnacentral:rRNA from 1 species